rnacentral:rRNA from 1 species
ACGAACGCUGGCGGCGUGCUUCACACAUGCAAGUCGAACGGAAAGGCCCUGCUUUUGUGGGGUGCUCGAGUGGCGAACGGGUGAGUAACACGUGAGUAACCUGCCCUUGACUUUGGGAUAACUUCAGGAAACUGGGGCUAAUACCGGAUAGGAGCUCCUGCUGCAUGGUGGGGGUUGGAAAGUUUCGGCGGUUGGGGAUGGACUCGCGGCUUAUCAGCUUGUUGGUGGGGUAGUGGCUUACCAAGGCUUUGACGGGUUGCCGGCCUGAGAGGGUGACCGGCCACAUUCGGACUGAGAUACGGCCCAGACUCCUACGGGAGGCAGCAGUGGGGAAUAUUGCACAAUGGGCGGAAGCCUGAUGCAGCAACGCCGCGUGCGGGAUGACGGCCUUCGGGUUGUAAACCGCUUUCGCCUGUGACGAAGCGUGAGUGACGGUAAUGGGUAAAGAAGCACCGGCUAACUACGUG